CCCUGAAACUUGGAGGCCUGGGCUGGCGGCCACGCCGCUGCCGCCUCCGCGCAGAGCCGUGUUGAUGACGUGCUCUUGAACCCCGGUGACGUCUGGCUUGUAUGUUUAGGGGACAAGUGCCCCGUUGCGGUCAACUUUUGCUGCUGACCCUCACGUGUUGGUCACCCCCAAAUAGCCUGCGCUUCCCCUCGCGCGGCUCGACCGCCCGCCUCUGAAUUUGUGUCCCCAAAGGGAGCCAAUUUUGUGCGUGUUGAUGACGUGCUGUUGAACCCCAGUGACGUCUGGCCUUGUACGUUUAGGAGAAAAGUGCCCCGUUAGGCUCAACUGUUGCUGCUGACCCUCACGUGUUGGUCACCCCCAAAUAGCUUGCGCUUCCCCUCGCGCGGCUCGACCGCCCGUUUCUGAUUUUGUGGCCCCAAAGGGAGCCAAUUCUGUGCGUUCUGCCCUGUCAGGGGGAAGCACGAGCAGAGAUGCGAUGGCUUGUAGCUUUUCCUCAGUCACCGAAUAUUAAAUUAAACGUGGACGUUCUUCUCCUGGAGCAGCGUUAACAGCACACGUUCUUUUGCUGCAAGAUCUGCAGCUGAGCCCAACAGCCCCGGGCAUCCAUCUCCAGAACUGAAGCACGUUGUAUUCUGUUCGAGAACAAAUCUGCAUCCCACAGCGUAUUGUUACCUGCUGGCACAGACUUAACUCAUCUUUGUAUUCCCACGUCCAUUCUUCAUUCUUGUAGUGUUUAUUGAAUAAAGGGGAGAAUGCUUUUGAGAGAGAAGGUUUGAAUUGGUUGCUUAUGUUGAAUUUCAAAUGGAAGGGGGUGCCUUUGAAUAGGUAGCCUACAACUUUUUUUUUCUUUUUUGCUAUUAACACUUUGUUUUUGAUUGAGGCAACAUUGAUUUACAUUAUGUUUGUAUUUUGGAAGUAUUGGAUCCUCCUCUUCCAAUAGUCCUGGUUUGGAAAUCAUGAAAAUAGAGUAAGGAUCUUAAAUCUGAUAAUUGUUUAAGAUUUUAACAAAAAGACAGAAGAUCAUGCAUCCAAACAAGUUUGUUGGGCUGAUUCUCCAACAAUGGAGGCUUGUCUCUUCUGAAAGAGAAAAUUUCCAGCCUGGCUCCCCUGAUGGAACUAGGAAAGGAUUUUUAAAAGUGUUCUAUACAGCAUGUGCUUGCUGUCCUGACAAGAAUGGAACAAAGAUGUUGCCAGAGGCCCAAAGAUAACAAAGAGCCAGGACUCUCAGCAUUUGGGCCUUGAGUGGUAACAAGAAAGAAUUCAGGUUUUAUCAAGGACGAAAUAGGAAUGCUGUGCCUCUGUUCAUGACACAUCACUUUACUUUUUGAAAGUCUGGGAAAAUAAGUCUGGCCACUUGCCGCGGACCAGCACAGCGAUGGACGAUGAGGCCGUCUCAGGGUUGAUAGACUGCGCAGGGUGGUCAGGGAUUCGAUGAAUAAAUGACACACAGACACACUUCAAGAGAGUGAAAAUCUGAGUGCAUCUUUAUUAAGCUAGUGGUCAGUAUAUAUAUGUUUUUCUAAAAGCAUAGGAACAGUGAACAUCAAAGAGAUCAGUUUGCUCAUAGACUUAGCUUAAUUGACAGGGCAGUGAUUUAUGUCCGAAGUUACAUCUGGACCUAGCCUCAUUCCUAAUUGGACAGGCUAUAAGUUCUUUCUACUGUUUUAUAUAAUUAUUUUCUAGUUGCACUAACUAUCAUUUUUACUCAUAAUUAAUUGUCAUGGGUGAAUUUAUUUUAUAAUGCAGUUAAUAUCAAAGGUACUAAAGUUAAGCACA